UAAAAUGUUUGACUCUUCGUCUUAUUUGAAUUUUUUUGCGAUUAAUAUUUUUAUUGUUAUUAGAUGAUAAAACAUGAAUAAUACUUUAUGCGUAACUAAUUUUUUUAAGUUUUUUUAUAAAUUUUUCAAAUAAGACGAAUGGUCAAAUGUUUAGACACGGAAAUC
rnacentral:pre_miRNA from 1 species